rnacentral:rRNA from 1 species
UGGGGAAUAUUGGGCAAUGGGCGCAAGCCUGACCCAGCAACGCCGCGUGAGGGAAGAAGGUCUUCGGAUUGUAAACCUCUGUCCUUGGGGACGAAAAAAAUGACGGUACCCAAGGAGGAAGCUCCGGCUAACUACGUGCCAGCAGCCGCGGUAAUACGUAGGGAGCGAGCGUUGUCCGGAAUUACUGGGCGUAACGGGUGCGUAGGCGGCUAGGCAAGUCAGAUGUGAAAUCCCCGGGCUUAACUCGGGUGUUGCAUUGGAAAUUGCUUGGCUUGAGUGCAGGAGAGGAAAGCGGAAUUCCUAGUGUAGCGGUGAAAUGCGUAGAUAUUAGGAGGAACACCAGUGGCGAAGGCGACUUUCUGGACUGUAACUGACGCUGAGGCACGAAAGCGUGGGGAGCAAACA